rnacentral:rRNA from 1 species
GACGAACGCUGGCGGCGUGCCUAAUACAUGCAAGUAGAACGCUGAAGCUUGGUGCUUGCACCGAGCGGAUGAGUUGCGAACGGGUGAGUAACGCGUAGGUAACCUGCCUGGUAGCGGGGGAUAACUAUUGGAAACGAUAGCUAAUACCGCAUAAUAGUAGAUGUUGCAUGACAUUUGCUUAAAAGGUGCAAUUGCAUCACUACCAGAUGGACCUGCGUUGUAUUAGCUAGUUGGUGAGGUAACGGCUCACCAAGGCAACGAUACAUAGCCGACCUGAGAGGGUGAUCGGCCACACUGGGACUGAGACACGGCCCAGACUCCUACGGGAGGCAGCAGUAGGGAAUCUUCGGCAAUGGACGGAAGUCUGACCGAGCAACGCCGCGUGAGUGAAGAAGGUUUUCGGAUCGUAAAGCUCUGUUGUAAGAGAAGAACGAGUGUGAGAGUGGAAAGUUCACACUGUGACGGUAUCUUACAAGAAAGAGACGGCUAACUACGUG